UACGUAGGGUGCAAGCGUUGUCCGGAUUUAUUGGGCGUAAAGAGCUCGUAGGCGGUCUGUCGCGUCGGAUGUGAAAACCCAGGGCUCAACCCUGGGCCUGCAUUCGAUACGGGCAGACUAGAGUACGGCAGGGGAGACUGGAAUUCCUGGUGUAGCGGUGAAAUGCGCAGAUAUCAGGAGGAACACCGGUGGCGAAGGCGGGUCUCUGGGCCGAAACUGACGCUGAGGCACGAAAGCGUGGGGAGCAAACAGG
rnacentral:rRNA from 1 species